ACGCCUUAUACAUGCAAGUCGAACGAAGUAGCAAUACUUAGUGGCAGACGGGUGAGUAACAUGUAGGUAUCUUCCCUUUGGUGAGGAAUAACACGAGGAAACUUGUGCUAAUACCUCAUAAGUCUUUACGGAGAAAGCUUUAUGCGCCAUUGGAUGAGCCUGCACUUGAUUAGUUUGUUGGUGGGGUAAUGGCCUACCAAGACUGUGAUCAAUAGCUGAUCUGAGAGGAUGAUCAGCCACAUUGGGACUGAGACACGGCCCAAACUCCUACGGGAGGCAGCAGUAGGGAAUAUUGCACAAUGGAGGAAACUCUGAUGCAGCGAUGCCGCGUGAGUGAAGAAGGCCUUUGGGUUGUAAAGCUCUUUCGUCGGGGAAGAAAAUGACUGUACCCGAAUAAGAAGGUCCGGCUAACUUCGUGCCAGCAGCCGCGGUAAUACGAAGGGACCUAGCGUAGUUCGGAAUUACUGGGCUUAAAGAGUUCGUAGGUUGUUAAAAAAGUUGGUGGUGAAAUCCCAGAGCUCAACUCUGGAACUGCCAUCAAAACUUUUUAGCUAGAGUAUGAUAGAGGAAAGCAGAAUUUCUAGUGUAGAGGUGAAAUUCGUAGAUAUUAGAAAGAAUACCAAUUGCGAAGGCAGCUUUCUGGAUCAUUACUGACGCUGAGGAACGAAAGCAUGGGUAGCGAAGAGGAUUAGAUACCCUCGUAGUCCAUGCCGUAAACGAUGUGUGUUAGACGUUGGAAAUUUAUUUUCAGUGUCGCAGCGAAAGCAGUAAACACACCGCCUGGGGAGUACGACCG
rnacentral:rRNA from 1 species